CCGACCUUAGCUCAGUUGGAAGAGCACGAGACUGUAACAGGCUAAACACUUCAUCUCGGGGUCGCCUGUUCGAACCAGGCAGGUCGGA